UUCCUCUAAGAACUAUGAUCUGUCCGGAUCUACUUGUAACAAACUUGGAUCCUAUCUCUACUGACAGCCAACAACAGGUGGAAGAAAAUUGAAUUGCAACGGAACAAAGUAGACGCAAGCCGACGAAAAUAGUGUGAUAUUGUAAUUGAUGUGUGAAGACUGUCUACGCUUCGGUCCGUACAAUUUUGGAAAACGGGUGGAGAACUGAUCGCCUCUUAUUCGAUUCAAUUUCAUCGAGAAAUGUUACUGAAUCGUUUAAACCAUCCUCCAUUGAAAAUAAAUAAUUUGAAAUAUAUUUCAUGGAAGAGAAAAUUGUUAAAUAAGAACAUGGGGGCAUUUUUUAUUUUGAAUCAUCUUGCAAAAUAUGAAUCUUCUUGAUAUUAAUAAACUAAAAUUAAACAUGUGGUACAUCUCUGAGUUCACAAACAGGAGGUGGCAUAUCAUAUUUAUAGGUUAUGAGGUUGGAAUGCACAUCCACCAACGAACGUACGAACAAAAAAUUGAAAUUCAUUGUUGUACUAUGGAUAUUCUAGGAUACUGUGGAAUUUUGAUUUGAUUAUUAUGGGUCUGUGUGUUUAUGAGGAAGUUUGUAAAUGAUAUAAUGAUUCGAAAUUGGACACGAUUGUCCGUUGUUUUUGAAGGUAAAAUUAUAGUGGAUGUUACCAGUGUUAUUUGUAGCGAGAAAAAUUAUUGUUUACUGCCAACUAUAAAAUAUUCGCGAAGUAGGUUUGGACAGAUGGAAUUCGUGUGAUUUAUGAUAGCUUUUUAUCAUUUCAAAAAAAUCAUGGGAGUGAUUAUAAUAAAUUGCUUUUCAUACUUUAUUGAACACUAUUUUUAAAAAUUAUGUAAUUAAAAAAAACAUAAAAUGAA